rnacentral:tRNA from 1 species
UAAAGCCUGCAAGAUUAUACCCACAUCACCUGAAUGCAACUCAGGUACUUUACUUAAAUUAAGGCUUU